rnacentral:rRNA from 1 species
AUGGACUAUACAUCGGAUGGAGACUCAGAGCUUGAAGCUUAUGGUUCUGACACUUAUGCACUUCUGCUAUCAGGAGAUAUAAAAGUGAUGCAUGAUGGGAGUUCAUACAAGUGCCCCUUUUGUUCGGUUGGAAAUGGUGACUAUAACAUACAUGAAUUACUGCAGCAUGCCUUGAGUGUGGGGGCUGCCCAUGACCAAGAAGCAAAACAGAAGGUAGACCAUCGAGCCCUUGCCAAGCAUUUGAAGGAUGAACCAGCUAAAUUACAUAGUCCACUGCUGAGGCCAAUUAUUAUGGAUCCACAGCCUCCUCAACAUAAAAGGGAUGAGCUGUUUGUCUGGCCCUGGAUGGGUAUCAUAGUCAAUAUGCCUUCUGAAUAUGUUGGAAAAAGUGCAAACCGGCUGAAGGAGCAUUUCUCCUGUUUUCAUCCAGUCAAAGCGCAUCAUGUGUACAGCAAAGGUUUUCCUACAGGUAAUGCUAUUGUUGAGUUUGGCAAGGACUUUGGUGGGUUUAGGAAUGCACGAAUAUUUGAGAAUCAGUUUGAGAAGAAUGGGUAUGGGAAAAUGGGCUGGCAGGAAAAAGAGCGCGGAGGGUCAGAGCCUUUUGGAUGGAUCGCUAGGGCAGAUGAUUACAAUGCUCCAGGGGCAAUAGGGGACUUUCUAAAAAAAAAUGGCGAUCUGAAGACGGUUGAUGGCGUCGAGAAUGAAGAAAAAAAUAAAAAUGAGAAACUUGUGGCCAGUUUAUCUUCUAAGGUUAUUGAAAAGAAUAUGCAUUUAGAAGCACUUGAAUGUGAGUAUCAGGAGAGAACUGUGUCAUUGCAAAGGAUGAUGGAACAGAGGGAACAUCAGGUCCAGUCAUACAGCGAAGAACUCACAAAGAUGCGACAGCGCUCUGUCGAACAUACACAAAAGAUUGUUGACGAGAACAAGAAGCUGCGCUUUGAUCUUCAGUCUAUGACGCAUGAGCUUGAUGCAAGGUCCAAAGAACUUGAUGAGUUGGCUGCACAGACUGAUUGCGAUAGAAGGAAGCUUGAAUUGGAGAAACAAAGGAAUGCGACAAAGUCCAAUCAUCUUAUGCUGGCAGAAAUGGAGUAUCAGAAAGCUAAUGAGAAUGUUCGCAAGCUUCUCGAACAACAACAGAAAGAGAAAGAAACUGCUUUAAACAAUGCUAAGAAGUUGGAGGAACAGUUUCAUGUGAAGCACAAUCUUCAACUAGAAAUAAAGCACCUGACAGGAAAAUUGCAAGUGAUAAAGCUCACACCAGGCAAUGAAACAUCAGAAACAGGGAAAAGAAUAGCUGAACUGACAGAGGAGCUGCAAGAUAAGAUCGAUGAGAUGGAAUAUACAGAAAACUACAACCAAGGUCUGAUCUUGCAAGAAAAAAAGGCUGCUGUUGAGUUGCAAGAAGCUCGGAAAUUUGUGUUAGAUGCUCUACAGGACUUGGGCGGUCAGACCAGUGACAAAGCACAAAUAGGCAUCAGGAUGAUGGGCGAGCUUGACCCAAAGGCAUUUUUAAAUGUGUGCAGGAAAUAUUUUCCAAAAGAUGAUGCGGAAGUUGAAAGUGUUAAGAUUUGUUCAAAGUGGCAGAACGAAAUUAAAAAUCCAGAAUGGCGUCCUUUUAAAAGUGGAAAAGAAUCGGAAGUGAUCAACGAGGAUGACAUGAAGCUCAAGGAGCUGAAAGAGGUGUACGGCGAGGAAGCAUAUGCUGCGGUGGUGACGGCGCUGAUCGAGCUGAAUGGCAGCAGCGGCGGCAGCAGGGUUCCUUUCCCGGAGCUAUGGAACCAGAGGGAGGGGAGGAAAGCAAAAUCCAAGGAAGCUGUCCAGCAUGCCAUCAAGCUGUUCAAGGCGAGCAAGAGACGGCGUUGA